rnacentral:lncRNA from 1 species
ACUGGAACCCCUAUUAUAAUGGAAUAAAACUAUUUUUAGGUCGUAAAAAAUUUAAUAAUAGGUGGUAUCUUGACUUUGACCGGAUGUUAUCCGAAUGAGUGCUAUCACAAGAUGCCGCAGCCUUUGGACUACUUUACCUAAAAAUAUUUGUCUGGACUGAAUUGUUUGACAAAAAAAUGGUCACGCAUCACUGGGUAAACUAAUUUUGGGCACAUUACGUACGCGGUGACGCUCUGCUCUGGUUUGACAGCUCAUUCAAACCCACAGCCUGGUGACCUACUCCAUGACGCCCUCCACCGCACUAUAAAUUGCACCCCAGCAUUGCACUGCAAGCUCCAGACCUACUUACUCAUCCACCAAUCAUCAGUUCAUCACAGCACGAACGACAUGGCUGCUGCUCCGGUGGUUGUGCCGCGCAUGAAGCUGGGCUCGCAGGGGCUGGAGGUCUCGGCGCAGGGCCUCGGCUGCAUGGGCAUGUCCGCGGCCUACGGCGAGCGCAAGCCCGACCAGGACAUGAUCGCGCUCCUCCGCCACGCCGUCGCCGCCGGCGUCACCUUCCUCGACACCUCCGACAUCUACGGCCCCCACACCAACGAGCUCUUACUCGGCAAGGUAGGCUACCUCCUUACUACAGCCACCCGACGUGUUCCUUGGCUCCUCGCUAGUUGCCAUUCGCACGCGGAUGUCUGACCGGCCAGAGUUCUCCGUGCAAUAAAGCAGGCGCUGCAGGGAGGGGUGAGGGAGCAGGUCCAAUUGGCCACGAAAUUUGGCAUCACGGCCACCUGGGAGGUCCACGGCGACCCGGCCUACGUGCGGGCGGCGUGCGAGGGCAGCCUCGCCCGGCUCGGCGUCGACUGCAUCGACCUCUACUACCAGCACCGCAUCGACAAGAAUGUCCCCGUGGAGAUCACGGUCAGUACUACGUACUCAGUCUGUCCAAAAAAAUUUAUCCCUCAAAUGAAUAUAUCUAACAUCAAGUUAGUGCUACAUACAUCAAUUUGAAAAACAAACUUGGAGUAAGUUUUUUCAGACGAAGGAAGUACUACGUAGCACUACUUGUUUAACUUCGUUUCAUUUUAUACAGAUUGAGGGCUUGUAGGUAUUGACUGGUCUACCUUCUUGACUUCCGUAUGCAUGUAGAUGGGUGAGAUCAAGAAGUUAGUCCAAGAAGGAAAAGUGAAAUACGUCGGGUUGUCGGAGGCCUCGGCGUCGACAAUAAGAAGGGCACACGCAGUUCAUCCCAUCACCGCCGUUCAGCUGGAGUGGUCUUUGUGGUCAAGAGAUGUCGAAGAAGAUAUAAUCCCAACUUGCAGGUAUUUGCAAUGACUACAAACCUAUUUUUUUCGCAAUUUCUUUUCAAAAUCAGCUUCAUAUGUAAUAUCCCUCCGAUCCAAAUUAAUUGCCGUAGCCUUAGUACAACUUUGUCAUACCAUGCAACGUCCUCCUUAUGUAGUCCCAGAAAGAAUUUACAAAAUGUUUUCUGUUUUAGAGAACUUGGCAUUGGAAUUGUAGCUUACAGUCCACUAGGCAGAGGUUUUCUAUCCAGUGGACCUAAACUAGUGGACACAUUACCAGAAGACGAUUUCCGCAAGGUAAAUGAACCACUCAUGACACUUCCUUCUUCAUGCGGUUAGCUAUCUUACUUUUCUCCUUUCUCCUUUUUCUAACAAAUGCAUCUCAUUGCGUUUUUAGAAUCUCCCAAGAUUUCAACCCGAGAACAUGAAGAAGAAUGCAGAGAUAUUCGAGCGCGUGAGCGAGAUGGCUGCGAGGAAGGGUUGCACGUCGUCUCAGCUCGCGCUGGCUUGGGUUCACCACCAGGGAAGCGAUGUGUGCCCCAUACCCGGCACGACGAAAGUUGAGAAUUUCAACCAGAACCUGAGAGCAUUGUCUGUUGAGCUCACGGCUGAGGAGAUGGCUGAGCUCGAGUCCUACGCUGCCAUGGAUGCGGUCCAAGGUGAUCGGUACCACAACACGUUCCUCAACACCUGGAAGGACUCCGAGACCCCUUCCCUGUCAUCCUGGAAAGCCACUUAGUUGGGUAUCAUGGGAAUCAAUCACUAUGCUGAUGCUUCGUAUCACUGGUUUGAAAUAGUUGCAAAUCAAAUAAUUUCACGAGCACUCCGUGCAUGGAUGGAAUCAUGGAACCACCAAUUGUUUACUAAUGUAGCACAAUUCCUGCCCAUGAGUGUUGAACUUUUUAUUAUGCCUGCAAGGAAGUAUCCCCCAAGUGUUGAACUUUUUGGCAGGGCUACAAAGGCCCUUUUGUAACACAUUUUCGUCCGGAAAACCAUUUAGAAUUCCCAACCUCAUGUGAAGAUUGCGGUACGCGUCGCACCUCCUUACAGGGGCCGAAUUACAUCAAUUGUUGCACCUUCUACAUACACUGGUUGUUACUUCAAUUGUUACACACGCAAGGAAUAGAAAUAAACAGAAGAUUACAACAUAGUAAAUCUAUCUGCCUAACAAACACAUGCUUCGUGCACCCUGAUGCAAGUCUUCUGGAAGCCUCUAGAGUCCUUUGGAUACUUCGGCCUACGGCGGCGACCUCACUGUGGAUUGUGAUGACUGCCAAAAGGUCUUCGCGAGGUUAAUCUCUCAAGAUCCGGUGCUUGCCUUCGGCUGUGAAAUGCAAUUUAUGGAUGACGACUUGAUGCACAAGGUAUGGUUAUGCAGUGGCGCCGAUUGAUUUUCCAGCCCAGCUUCUAGGAUUGUGGAAAAGUGAUGGCGACAACCCAUGAUUGGCUUUGAUGGUGGUAUUUCUCGAGUACCCAGUUUUGAGCUUCGGGGUGAAAAACGUAGGUAUGAUCCGAGUUGGUUGUACAUGACAAUGGUGAUGUUUUUGUGUCAUUAUUUUAUUAAAGGCAUUGCUUGGAUAUGCCCAGUCUGGUUCUUCCGAGUAGAAAUCUAGACUCUAGUCUUUGGUGGUCGGAAUAGGUGACCGAGGUGAUGUUGAAUAACCUCAUUGUUCUUGUGGUGUCAUGAGAUGGUUAGUGCAGAGAUGAUUAUUAUUGUAGUUUUUUUAUUUUGGAUUUGAUCACUUCGGGGUUUUGGUUUUCUUUCUGGCUUAGACAUGACUUUCAUAUUGUGUGACUUUGCUAAUCGCUGCACCAAUGAACUAUCAUGGGUAAGCCCAUAGAUGAUGUCAAGAAGCUACUUGAUGAUAUGCAAGGGAACCAUGCCCAAUGACAUGUUGAAAGAACUACCACCAAAAAAGUCAAUACAGUUGAAGAAAACAACACGGAGUUGACAGCUAAGCUUGAUGAACUCAUCUCCGUCAUGAAAGGUAAAGAAGAGGUAGCGUAAAUGCCAUAUCACCGAUGUAGAAGUCAAUGAUGUUAAUUUCAUUGCUCGUAAUAGCUAUAAUCCAAACUGAUAAAAUAAUGGGUAUGCCCCAAAAUAUACACAGUGAUGCUAUGCUCUAGUUCAAAAUUUGACGUACGUUGUGGUUGGGUAUAUGGCGUUUGGCCAGAAAGGCGCUUACAAAGUCGGUUUAUAAGGAGGCGUUUGUUCUAACAGACGUAUAUAUCAUAUGGACAAGGCUUCACAAAGCAACUGCCGGUAGACAGUUAUGUUAAAGAUAAUAUUAACCGCCUAUUUAGCCUAACAAUGAUGCUAACUAUUUCUAACAAACUAUUAUGAUUUCCUAUCAGAAGAGGCAACAACAAUAUCCUAAAUGACAUAGCUUGCCUCACACGCCCUAAUAAUUACUCGCUUGAACGCUCUUAUAUUAUGGGAUGGAGGGAGGCUUUUCUGAGAAUGUGCCACACACGAAUGACUCAGUGUAUGGACAAUCUCCUUGGAUCGCCUCGUCACUCACUCGACACGCCGGAGCGGAUAGCAGGCAGGCGUCGCCGUCGUAUCGUGUGUCCGAGACAAACCUAUCCACAAGCCAGCCAGCCAGCCAAGCCAGGAAUCGUAGACAGGACACAUGCAUGGCUGUGACACACACGAUUCGGAUGCCAGGCCCGUCCGAUUCUCCGAUGAGUUGCGUGCGUGAGCUCACGAACCCCCGGCCAACGGCGACGCUGAAAUCGACCGACGGGGCGUGGGCAGUCACUUCGCACUUCGGUGUCCAUCAUCGAAUUUUUCAUGUGGCGGAGACGGGCGGUGACCCGUCGCCCAUCGCCGUGGCAUCUGCCUCCUGGACCCACACGUUCCUUUCCCCCGUGGCGUGCCCAUCCGUUGGACCAGCCAGUCAGCCACCGUGGCGUCCCACUCGAACCGCCCCGCCACUCACUCACUGUCAUGUAGUACGAGGAAUCUAGAAGAGGACCUUAGAAGAGUGAAAAAGAUCAAUGUCCAUUUCAAUUUAACGUACGGGGUGACGCUCUGCGCUAAUUCGGCAGCUCAUUCAAACCAGCAGCCUGGUGACCUACUCCAUGACGCCCUCCACCGCACUAUAAAUUGCACCGCAGCAUUGCACUGCAAGUUCCAGACCUACUUACUCAUCCACCAAUCAUCAGUUCAUCACAGCACGAACGACAUGGCUGCUGCUCCGGUGGUUGUGCCGCGCAUGAAGCUGGGCUCGCAGGGGCUGGAGGUCUCGGCGCAGGGCCUCGGCUGCAUGGGCAUGUCCGCGGCCUACGGCGAGCGCAAGCCCGACCAGGACAUGAUCGCGCUCCUCCGCAACGCCGUCGCCGCCGGCGUCACCUUCCUGGACACCUCCGACAUCUACGGCCCCCACACCAACGAGCUCUUGCUCGGGAAGG